AGAGUAUAUGGUGGAGAUCUAGGGACCUAGAGCCGAUGAAGGGCGUGAUAACCGACGAUAUGCUUCGGGGAGCAGGACGUAUGCUUUGAUCCGAAGAUUCCCGAAUAGGGCAACCUUAAACAUUCCUUCUUGAAUUCAUAGAGAAGAGAAAGACAACCCAGUGAACUGAAACAUCUUAGUAGCUGGAGGAAAAGAAAGCAAAAGCGAUUCCCAAAGUAGCGGCGAGCGGAAUGGGACCAGUCUAAAAGAAAAAUGUAUUUUUCUGGUUUUUGGACCAAACAUGUAGGUAGAGAAAUUCUUGAGAAACGAAGCAGCUGAAUCCUGCGCCAUAGAUGGUGAAAGCCCAGUCGUUGAAUCUUGACUCAAUGCCGUUUGGCUCCCAAGUAGUAUGGGGCACGUGAAACCCCGUAUGAAUUCGCCAGGACCACCUGGUAAGACUAAAUACUCCUAGGUCACCGAUAGCGAAAAGUACCGCGAGGGAAAGAUGAAAAGAACCCCUUUUCGGGGAGUGAAAUAGAACAUGAAACCGUAUACUUACAAUUGGUAGGAGGAUGAACACAUCUGACUGCAUGCCUGUUGAAGAAUGAUCUGGCGACUUACGGUAAGUGGCAUGGUUAAGAUUUUUCAUCGAAGCCAAAGCGAAAGCAUGUCUGAAUAGGGCACUCGUCCCUUAUCGUAGACCCGAACCCAGGUGAUCUAACCAUGACCAGAAUGAAGCUUUGGUGAUACGAAGUGGAGGUUCGAACCGACCGAUGUUGAAAAAUCGACGGAUGAGUUGUGGUUAGGGGUGAAAUGCCAAUCGAACUUGGAGCUAGCUGGUUCUCCUCGAAAUGCGUUGAGGCGCAGCGGUUAUUUAUGAACUCUCAGGGGGUAAAGCUCUGUUUAGGUGCGGGCUGCGAAAGCGGUACCAAUCUUUUGCAAACUCGGAAUACCUGAGAUGAUUUCAAAUAGCCAGUGAGACUAUGGGGGACAAGCUUCAUAGUCGAAAGGGAAACAGCCCAGACCAUCAGCUAAGGCUCCUAAAUAAAAGCUAAGUGGUAAAGGAGGUGAAAAUGCUGUGACAAUCAGGAGGUUUGCCUAGAAGCAGCCACCCUCUAAGGAGUGCGUAAUAGCUCACUGAUCAAGCGUUUUUGCGCCGAAAAUUUCCGGAACUAAGUUUUUUGCCGAAGCUAUGGAUAUAUUAUCUACAUAAUAUGUGGUAGAGGAGCGUUCCGCCCAGGGAGAAGCCAAGCGCGUAAGCCGCGGUGGACCGGGCGGAAGUGAGAAUGUCAGAUUGAGUAACGAAAACACUAGUGAGAAUCUAGUGCCCCGAAAACGUAAGGGUUCCUCUGCAAGGCUCGUCCUCAGAGGGUCAGUCAGGACCUAAGGUGAGGCCGAAAGGCGUAAUCGAUGGAAAGUAGGCUUAUAUUCCUACACCGUUAUUUUAUUAGUCCUGAGGGACGAACAAAUGAAGUCAAAGAAAAAUGCCACCUUGGCAGGUGGACUCCCAUAUUUCUUCUUUCUCCAUUUUUUCCAAGAAAAGCUCAUCGACUUUGAUAAAAUAAUGCCUGUACCGUAAACCGACACAGGUACGUGGGUUGAAUAAACUAAGGGGAGCGAGAUAACUCUCUCUAAGGAACUCGGCAAAUUGGCUCUGUACCUUCGGAAGAAAGAGUGCCCUGCAUAAGGGCCGCAGUGAAGAGAUCCAGGCGACUGUUUACCAAAAACACAGGUCUCCGCAAAGUCGUAAGACGAUGUAUGGGGGCUGACACCUGCCCAGUGCCAGAAGGUUAAAGAAGUUGGUUAGUUUCGACAAAGCUGACGACUGAAGCCCUGGUGAACGGCGGCAGUAACUAUAACUGUCCUAAGGUAGCGAAAUUCCUUGUCGGGUAAGUUCCGACCCGCACGAAAGGUGUAACGAUCUGGAUACUGUCUCAGAGAGAGGCUCGGUGAAAUAAAAAUAUCUGUGAAGAUGCGGAUUACCUGCACGCGGACAGAAAGACCCUAUGAAGCUUUACUGUAACCUGGAAUUGCUCUCAAGCUUAUUUUGCGCAGCUUAGGUGGGAGACGUUGAACUUCUUUUUCCGGAAAGGAGGGAGUCAUCAGUGAGAUACCACUCUUGGUAAGCUAGAGCGCUCAUUUCUAACCGUUAUCCGGUAGAAAGACAGUUUCA
rnacentral:rRNA from 1 species